AGUGAACGCUGGCGGUAGGCCUAACACAUGCAAGUCGAACGGCAGCACAGUAAGAGCUUGCUCUUACGGGUGGCGAGUGGCGGACGGGUGAGGAAUACAUCGGAAUCUACUUUUUCGUGGGGGAUAACGUAGGGAAACUUACGCUAAUACCGCAUACGACCUACGGGUGAAAGCAGGGGAUCUUCGGACCUUGCGCGAUUGAAUGAGCCGAUGUCGGAUUAGCUAGUUGGCGGGGUAAAGGCCCACCAAGGCGACGAUCCGUAGCUGGUCUGAGAGGAUGAUCAGCCACACUGGAACUGAGACACGGUCCAGACUCCUACGGGAGGCAGCAGUGGGGAAUAUUGGACAAUGGGCGCAAGCCUGAUCCAGCCAUACCGCGUGGGUGAAGAAGGCUUUCGGGUUGUAAAGCCCUUUUGUUGGGAAAGAAAAGUAGCAGGUUAAUACCCCGCUGUUCUGACGGUACCCAAAGAAUAAGCACCGGCUAACUUCGUG
rnacentral:rRNA from 1 species